ACUGUUCAGCCAUGUUCCUGAUGUUCAUCCCACUCCUGGGGAUACAUUUUUCCCUGAGAGAUGCCAGAGCCCAGUCUGUGAUCCAGCCUGAUGUCCAUGUCACUGUCUCUGAAGGAGCAUCUGUGGAGUUGAGAUGCAACUAUUCCUAUGGUGCAACACCUUAUCUCUUCUGGUAUGUCCAGUACCCUGGCCAAGGCCUCCAGCUUCUCCUCAAGUCCUUUUCAGGGGACAUCCAUGUUCAAGGCAUUAAAGGAUUUGAAGCUGAAUUUAUGAAGAGCAAAUCUUCCUUCAACCUGAGGAAACCCUCUGUGCUUUGGAGUGACACGGCUAAGUACUUCUGUGUUCUCAGUGCCACAGUGCCUGGGACUGCAGGGGGAGCUGAACACAAACCAACCAUGAUAGUGGAGUUUUCAAAGAUGAAAGAACUCGCCUUGUGGUAUUUUGAAAGUUAUAUGAUGGCAGAUGAGGAGAAGGGGACUGAGUUGAUGCAAGUGCAGUCUUCAUACCACAUAACAACCAGGACCUCGAGGAUUUGCCUUGAAGUUGACGGCAUUAAGGGGCCCUUUAUGUGA